GUGGGUUAAUUAUUAUUGUUAAUGAUUAAUUUUCUUUGCACUUUUAAGAAACCUAAAACUACUGUAAACCUGCAAAUCUUCCCAUCGUAAAUAAGAUCUGGGCCACUGAUGCCACAGAAUCCUGUAACAUGGUUGAUAAGGGCAAGUGCUAAAGACUGAAGCCAUAGAACUGCAAAGUGUCGCAUGCAGUUGUUGCAAAUGCAGCACAGCUUGCAUUUUUGACAUGAAAAGACAUGUCAGCCAGGUAGGAAAGAAAACAACCAAACCCACACCUCUGCCUCCACAUGAGCUUCUUCAACACGUGGAGCUGCACACUUGCCAAUCAGCCACAGAUCCUUAUCAGCUCUCUGAUGUCCUCAUUGUCGUCUUCCCUCUACAGCCUCCUUUCAAAUCAUUGUACAACCUCUAGAGCGGCAGUAUAAAAACACCACCACGCUGAACUACUCCACUAGCUGCAAAGCAACAAUGAACCAGACCCUAGGUCUUGCCUUACCAUGCCAGCCCUAAUGGCUAUAAAACGUCCCCUCCAGCUGUGCUCUGUGAUACACGGUACAGCAAACCCAGGGAGCAUCCUUACCUGGAUAGAGUUCGGCUGCAGCAGCUGCUGCAACAAAGAGGAAGCGUGUUUUCUGUUUGACGGCUAAGCUCCGAGUUACAACCACUCUCACGAUGCCUGGCUGUGUGGUUACUCAUGGUCUUCUCUUCACAAAUCAGGCACCAGGACUCCAGCACAACAGGAUGGAUGUAAUUCCUGCACAGCUUAAUAUUCCUCCUCUCCAGCUCUUGGUUUUAUCAUUUAUAUCCCCCUGUGGAGCAGCUGUGAGAAGAUCCCAACUGGAUUCCAAGCAGCAGUCUACUGUGGAAUGAGAGGUGCUGCGUUAGACUUACAAGAACGUGCUUUCAAAACUAUCUGUUUUCUUCCUGCUUGUGGAUUCACCAUCAGGCAAAAACUUUGCCACUGGAUUUGCCUCUGGGCACUGGGUGCAAGAAACUUCCUCCAUCUGGAUUCACCACUAGGGAUAAGGUGUGCGACAGCUGUUGAGAAAUAUUGUAUCUCCAGAAUCAGGGGUGCACAGGGGAUGCUGCCAUGUCAGGCAUGGAAAUUGGCAGGGGAAAGGAUUAAACAAGGAAGCCGUCUAUUGACAUCAUCAGAGAGGAGUCGGUGCACUUCCAGAGUAGAUGCAGCUACACUGGUAGGGGUGAACGUACCAAUGCAACAUGCUUGGUAAGCACAGAUUUCAUGUGCAGGUGCCCGGGCUUGGGUACUCUGUGCUGUGUAGAUGUGACCAAAGAUAUAACUGUCGAAGCUACCAGAAGCUUGGCACAAGACACAUUAAACAGGGAAACGGGCAGCACAGCUUGAAUGAGAUGUCUUAGUACUGCAGCAGUAAACCAGUGAGAUGAGCAAGGGAGAUUGGUUUGAAAAAGCCUGCUCUGGCAAGGAAUCUGGUAUCACGGGUUUAGUGGGAUAACCUCGCAUGGAAGGGGUUAAACAUGCAGCUGAGCGCCCAAACUUUGUUUGCACAUGAACGGGUGACAGAUUUCACACCAAUGGUUUGCAUGUUUAGUGCUGGCCCAGCACUUUCUCGGUAUUGUCUUUGCCCCCAAGGUCCGGGAAGAGCCUUUCUGCUCUGAGGGUACCCUGACCUCUUUACUCACCUGCCCUGAUUGCAAGGGAAACACCCUCUUUUCUUUUCUUUUUCUGGCCGCAAGUUCUGCUCUGCUCAGCAGAUUUAUUGCUGCCAUCUAGUGGUGCUACAAGAACAAGGCCUGCUCGUGACUGCUCCCCCUGCCCCCCAAACACAGUGCGGGGCUGUGAAAAAUGUAUUCCCUCUGUAGAUCUCCGCUUCUUGGUGAAUGAAAUGGCCUGUUGUGUCUGGAGGCUGCAGCCCUCAUUUCCCACCUGGUAAAUUAGCCCCCCUGACUUUCAGUGUCUAAAUUAUCUUCACAGAUACCUGUAAGAAACUGGAGAAGCCAUGGAUUUUAUCUGAACAUGAUACUGCUAUCUGUGUCAGUCAGUGGGGUAGGUAGCUACAGGGAGAUUUUGGAAACGGGGGCAUUUUUUUGUUGUCG